UGGGCCUGGACCCCAGCCCACCUGCUGAUGAGUCACCUCCCCUGGCCUCAGUGUCCCCAGGAGGCACCUGGGUGGUCACUCUGCUGCCCAAGUGCCCAGCAGUCCACCUGGCAGGGGCAGGAGAGCCCCCAAAGUCAGAGAGGUGCUGACAGUUUGAUCACCUUGUUCAAGUAGAGUUCUGUCAUCUCUUUGGGUGCUCACUCUGGGGGCCUGUUGAUCUCCAGCAGAACCCCUCUCCGUGGGUCCUCCGAGGCUGUCAUCCCGAUUCGGGCUCAGCCAAGCAGUACCGGCUGGUGAUCUCGGUGGGUUUGGCAGCGGAGCCUCUGCGGUGGCUUCUGGUGUUUCUGUGGAGUCUUCCCUACAGUGGAACUGGCAAGUCGGAAAAUGGCACCUGGCAUUAAAAACCAAAGAGACGGCUUCUGCACGCAGAUGAGACUCCUGGGAACUGCAGGAUGUUCUGUGACAAUCGCUGUGGACUGUAGGGUUUGCCACUCGAGAGAACAGGGUUAUUAUAAGACCCAAAAUAGUCCUGCUCUAGUUCUAAGGUGGGGAGAUGAAAGUCCAGACAACUUCCUUUGCUGCACAGAGCCCAGGAGGGGAGGGGAUGGGAACAAUGGACCUCGCAGAGUCUCUGCCGGUUGUCCUGUUCAUAGGGCACCUGGAGUGGAGGCCCCUUCUCGGAGCAGAGAAGCCAGUGGGUCUCCAGAGGUGGCCAGAAAGGAGAGUGAGCUUUUUCUGUCAAACAUGGGGAGGAGAAUGGAAUUCUGGGGCGCUACCUACAGAAGGGGAAGCUUUCUACAGAAGCAGAGUGUUGAAGGGGGAGAGAGGCUGAGCCAUGGCAGUGAAAGACUUCAGGAAGUCCACGGUGCUCACCAAGCCUUGUGCAGGUGGUGCUGGGGGCAGGCGGGAGGGUGUGUGAGCCAGGAAAGAGGCUGGUUCCGCCUCUGGGCACUGUGAUAGCAUCAGGAAUAGCACUGCUGAAUGCAAGAGGAUCCACAAAUGGAAACAUUUAAUUAAUUUAUUAAAAGCAUUCUAGGCACUAGAUAUGCUUAGAGGAUGAAGAAGCAAGGGUCUGUUCUCAAGGGGCUCACAUUCCGGAGGCAGAGGGAGAGAACAAGCUGAGAAAUAGACGAAUCAGCACUUCAGAUAUGCUGAGAGCUGGGAAGAAAAUAAACCAGAGACUCUGGGUAGGUGGCACCUUUAGAUGGUGGGGGCCAGGGGAACCUCUCUGAGGAGCUGAUGUCUGAGCUAAUAGGGGCCGACUGGUGAGCUACCCGGAAAGAAGGUUCCAGAAUGAAGAACCAGUAUACAAGGUGACACCCAGCUCCAGAAGCCCUUUUCUGCCAUGGCUUUGCAUUGUUUUUCUCAACCACUCAACCAGAAAUGGACAUUCUCUGCUCUGCCUACCCGUACACCAGACCCCCUGCCUCCCCAGGGCCUGUGACUUCUGAUCCAGAUCCCGUUGGGCUUCCAGUCCUUUAAAAUACUCAAUGCCGCUGGUAAUUAAAAAAAAAAAAACAAACAAGAAAAAACAAAUGCUAACACAAGUAUGUGGUACCAUUUUUCAUCUUCAACAUUUGAGAGAUUAAAAAAAAU